rnacentral:misc_RNA from 1 species
GAUGAAGAACGUAGCGAAAUGCGAUAAGUAAUGUGAAUUGCAGAAUUCAGUGAAUCAUCGAAUCUUUGAACGCACAUUGCGCCCCUUGGUAUUCCGAGGGGCAUGCCUGUUCGAGCGUCAUUAUAACCCCUCAAGCUCAGCUUGGUGUUGGGGCCUGCUGCACUGGCAGCCCUUAAAAUCAGUGGCGGCGCCAUCUGGCUCUAAGUGUAGUAAUUCUUCUCGCUAUGGAGUCCUGGUGGAUGCUUGCCAUCAACCCCCAAUUUUUCUAUGGUUGACCUCGGAUCAGGUAGGGAUACCCGCUGAACUUAAGCAUAUCAAUAAGCGGAGGA